UACAGAGGGUGCGAGCGUUAAUCGGAAUUACUGGGCGUAAAGCGCGCGUAGGCGGCUUUGCAAGUCGGGUGUGAAAUCCCCAGGCUUAACCUGGGAACUGCAUUCGAGACUGCAUUGCUAGAGUAUGGGAGAGGGAAGUGGAAUUUCAGGUGUAGCGGUGAAAUGCGUAGAUAUCUGAAGGAACAUCAGUGGCGAAAGCGACUUCCUGGACCAAUACUGACGCUCAUGUGCGAAAGCGUGGGGAGCAAACAGGAUUAGAUACCCUGGUAGUCCACGCCAUAAACGAUGAGAACUGGAUGUCGGGAGGGUCUGCCUCUCGGUGUCGUAGCUAACGCGUUAAGUUCUCCGCCUGGGGAGUACGGCCGCAAGGUUGAA
rnacentral:rRNA from 1 species